GACGAACGCUGGCGGCGUGCCUAAUACAUGCAAGUCGAACGCACAGUUUAUACCGUCGUUUGCUACACCAUAAACUGUGAGUUGCGAACGGGUGAGUAACGCGUAGGUAACCUGCCUGGUAGCGGGGGUAAACUAGUGAAAACGAUAGCUAUUACCGCAUGAUAUUCAUUAUUGCAUGAUAAUUGAUUGAAGGAUUCUAUUGCAUCACUACUAAGUGGACCUUCGGUGUAUUGGCUAGUAGGUGAGGUAACGGCUCACCUAGGGGACGAUACAUAGCCGAUCGGAGGGGGGGGUCGGCCACACUGGGACUGAGACACGGCCCAGAGUCCUGCGGGAGGCAGCAGGAGGGAGUCGUGGGCAAUGGACGAAAGGCUGACCGAGCAACGCCGGGUGAGGGAAGAAGGAUUUCGGAUCGUAAAUCUCUGUUGUAAGAGAAGAACGGGUGUGAGAGUUGAAUGUUCACACUGUGACGGUAUCUUACGAGAAAGCGACGGCUAACUACGUG
rnacentral:rRNA from 1 species